GAUGAACGCUGGCGGCGUGCCUAAUACAUGCAAGUCGAGCGAACAGACGAGGAGCUUGCUCCUCUGACGUUAGCGGCGGACGGGUGAGUAACACGUGGAUAACCUACCUAUAAGACUGGGAUAACUUGGGGAAACGGGAGCUAAUACCGGAUAAUAUAUUGAACCGCAUGGUUGAAUAGUGAAAGACGGUUUUGCUGUCACUUAUAGAUGGAUCCGCGCCGCAUUGGCUAGUUGGUAAGGUAACGGCUUACCAAGGCAACGAUGCGUAGCCGACCUGAGAGGGUGAUCGGCCACACUGGAACUGAGACACGGUCCAGACUCCUACGGGAGGCAGCAGUAGGGAAUCUUCCGCAAUGGGCGAAAGCCUGACGGAGCAACGCCGCGUGAGUGAUGAAGGUCUUCGGAUCGUAAAACUCUGUUAUUAGGGAAGAACAAAUGUGUAAGUAACUAUGCACGUCUUGACGGUACCUAAUCAGAAAGCCACGGCUAACUACGUG
rnacentral:rRNA from 1 species